rnacentral:rRNA from 1 species
AUGGAUAAUUCUCAACAACAAUAUCUAUAUUACUGUAUGUGGAAGCAACGCACACUACUUGUCCUUUUUGUAAUGUUGGUCCUUUGGUGGAGCAAGAAAAAAGAGAGGAAGAAUAGAGCUAAAAGUGUCAAGUAUGGUCCACUUGUCAAGAGAGAUAUUUGGAGGAGUACUGAACUAAUUAGACUGAUCGACACCUUGGAAAGGACGUGUUUGCACCAGCUCAGGAUGUAUCCGGCCGUUUUCUACAAGCUGUGUGCUCACCUUAGGGACAAAAAUCUUUCGGUUGACACAAUUCAUGUGUCCGUAGAGGAGCAGCUAGCUAUGUUUCUGAAAAUUGUUGGGCAAUAUCACACUCAUCCUCCGUAG